rnacentral:rRNA from 1 species
CCUACGGGUGGCAGCAGUGAGGAAUAUUGGUCAAUGGACGAGAGUCUGAACCAGCCAAGUAGCGUGAAGGAUGACUGCCCUAUGGGUUGUAAACUUCUUUUAUAUGGGAAUAAAACGCUCCACGUGUGGGAUUUUGUAUGUACCAUAUGAAUAAGGAUCGGCUAACUCCGUGCCAGCAGCCGCGGUAAUACGGAGGAUCCGAGCGUUAUCCGGAUUUAUUGGGUUUAAAGGGAGCGUAGGUGGAUUGUUAAGUCAGUUGUGAAAGUUUGCGGCUCAACCGUAAAAUUGCAGUUGAAACUGGCAGUCUUGAGGACAGUAGAGGUGGGCGGAAUUCGUGGUGUAGCGGUGAAAUGCUUAGAUAUCACGAAGAACUCCGAUUGCGAAGGCAGUUCACUGGACUGCAACUGACACUGAGGCUCGAAAGUGUGGGUAUCAAACAGGAUUAGAUACCCUUGUAGUC